AAAUUGAAGAGUUUGAUCAUGGCUCAGAUUGAACGCUGGCGGCAGGCCUAACACAUGCAAGUCGAACGGUAACAGGAAGCAGCUUGCUGCUUCGCUGACGAGUGGCGGACGGGUGAGUAAUGUCUGGGAAACUGCCUGAUGGAGGGGGAUAACUACUGGAAACGGUGGCUAAUACCGCAUAACGUCGCAAGACCAAAGAGGGGGACCUUCGGGCCUCUUGCCAUCAGAUGUGCCCAGAUGGGAUUAGCUAGUUGGUGAGGUAACGGCUCACCAAGGCGACGAUCCCUAGCUGGUCUGAGAGGAUGACCAGCCACACUGGAACUGAGACACGGUCCAGACUCCUACGGGAGGCAGCAGUGGGGAAUAUUGCACAAUGGGCGCAAGCCUGAUGCAGCCAUGCCGCGUGUAUGAAGAAGGCCUUCGGGUUGUAAAGUACUUUCAGCGGGGAGGAAGGUGUUGUGGUUAAUAACCACAGCAAUUGACGUUACCCGCAGAAGAAGCACCGGCUAACUCCGUGCCAGCAGCCGCGGUAAUACGGAGGGUGCAAGCGUUAAUCGGAAUUACUGGGCGUAAAGCGCACGCAGGCGGUCUGUCAAGUCGGAUGUGAAAUCCCCGGGCUCAACCUGGGAACUGCAUUCGAAACUGGCAGGCUUGAGUCUUGUAGAGGGGGGUAGAAUUCCAGGUGUAGCGGUGAAAUGCGUAGAGAUCUGGAGGAAUACCGGUGGCGAAGGCGGCCCCCUGGACAAAGACUGACGCUCAGGUGCGAAAGCGUGGGGAGCAAACAGGAUUAGAUACCCUGGUAGUCCACGCCGUAAACGAUGUCUACUUGGAGGUUGUGCCCUUGAGGCGUGGCUUCCGGAGCUAACGCGUUAAGUAGACCGCCUGGGGAGUACGGCCGCAAGGUUAAAACUCAAAUGAAUUGACGGGGGCCCGCACAAGCGGUGGAGCAUGUGGUUUAAUUCGAUGCAACGCGAAGAACCUUACCUGGUCUUGACAUCCACGGAAGUUUUCAGAGAUGAGAAUGUGCCUUCGGGAACCGUGAGACAGGUGCUGCAUGGCUGUCGUCAGCUCGUGUUGUGAAAUGUUGGGUUAAGUCCCGCAACGAGCGCAACCCUUAUCCUUUGUUGCCAGCGGUUAGGCCGGGAACUCAAAGGAGACUGCCAGUGAUAAACUGGAGGAAGGUGGGGAUGACGUCAAGUCAUCAUGGCCCUUACGACCAGGGCUACACACGUGCUACAAUGGCGCAUACAAAGAGAAGCGACCUCGCGAGAGCAAGCGGACCUCAUAAAGUGCGUCGUAGUCCGGAUUGGAGUCUGCAACUCGACUCCAUGAAGUCGGAAUCGCUAGUAAUCGUGGAUCAGAAUGCCACGGUGAAUACGUUCCCGGGCCUUGUACACACCGCCCGUCACACCAUGGGAGUGGGUUGCAAAAGAAGUAGGUAGCUUAACCUUCGGGAGGGCGCUUACCACUUUGUGAUUCAUGACUGGGGUGAAGUCGUAACAAGGUAACCGUAGGGGAACCUGCGGUUGGAUCACCUCCUUACCUUAAAGAA
rnacentral:rRNA from 4 species